rnacentral:rRNA from 1 species
UACGUAGGGUGCGAGCGUUGCCCCGGAUUUAUUGGGCGUAAAGGGCGCGUAGGCGGUCACGCACGUCCGUUGUGAAAUCGCUCGGCUCAACUGGGCGGGGUCAGCGGAUACGGCGUGGCUGGAGCAAGCUAGGGGGCAAUGGAAUUCCCGGUGUAGCGGUGAAAUGCGUAGAGAUCGGGAGGAAGGCCGGUGGCGAAGGCGGCGAACUUGACGACAACUGACACUCAACUGCGAAAGCGUGGGGAGCAAACAGG